rnacentral:rRNA from 1 species
GCCCUUCGGGGUGGAUUAGUGGCGAACGGGUGAGUAACACGUGGGCAAUCUGCCCUUCACUCUGGGACAAGCCCUGGAAACGGGGUCUAAUACCGGAUAACACUCCUGCCUGCAUGGGCGGGGGUUAAAAGCUCCGGCGGUGAAGGAUGAGCCCGCGGCCUAUCAGCUAGUUGGUGGGGUAAUGGCCUACCAAGGCGACGACGGGUAGCCGGCCUGAGAGGGCGACCGGCCACACUGGGACUGAGACACGGCCCAGACUCCUACGGGAGGCAGCAGUGGGGAAUAUUGCACAAUGGGCGAAAGCCUGAUGCAGCGACGCCGCGUGAGGGAUGAAUGCCUUCGGGUUGUAAACCUCUUUCAGCAGGGAAGAAGCGCAAGUGACGGUACCUGCAGAAGAAGCACCGGCUAACUACGUGCCAGCAGCCGCGGUAAUACGUAGGGUGCGAGCGUUGUCCGGAAUUAUUGGGCGUAAAGAGCUCGUA